AUGGUUUCGUCCGAAGCCUCUGAUUGGUCAAACCGGAGAAGGCGUGGUCUCCGCAGUCUGGUUCCGCGCGCCAGAGUGCGCUAGCCGCAUUGCGAGCUGGGCACGGAGCAGGCGCCAUGGUUCUGCUGCACGUGCUGUUCGAGCAUGCGGUCGGCUACGCGCUGUUGGCGCUGAAGGAAGUGGAGGAGAUCAGCCUGCUGCUGCCGCAGGUGGAGGAAUGUGUGCUUAACCUUGGCAAAUUCCACAAUGUCGUUCGUCUGGUGGCCUUUUGUCCCUUCUCUUCAUCCCAGGUUGCCUUGGAAAAUGCCAAUGCUGUGUCUGAAGGUGUUGUUCACGAGGACCUCCGCCUGCUCCUGGAGACAUACCUGCCAUCUAAAAAGAAGAAAGUACUUCUGGGAGUUGGAGACCCCAAGAUUGGCGCUGCAAUACAGGAAGAGUUGGGGUACAACUGCCAGACUGGUGGUGUGAUAGCUGAGAUCCUCCGAGGAGUUCGUCUGCAUUUCCAUAAUCUGGUGAAGGGCCUGACAGAUCUUUCUGCUUGUAAGGCCCAGCUAGGGCUGGGACACAGCUACUCUCGUGCCAAAGUUAAAUUUAAUGUGAACCGAGUGGACAACAUGAUCAUUCAGUCCAUAAGCCUCCUGGACCAACUGGAUAAAGAUAUCAAUACCUUCUCGAUGCGAGUCAGGGAGUGGUAUGGGUACCACUUUCCAGAGCUGGUGAAGAUUGUCAAUGACAACGCCACAUACUGUCGCCUGGCUCAGUUUAUUGGGAACCGCAGGGAGCUGAAUGAAGAGAAGUUAGAGAAACUGGAAGAAAUUACGAUGGAUGGGGCCAAGGCUAAGGCCAUCUUGGAUGCUUCUCGGUCCUCCAUGGGCAUGGACAUAUCUGCUAUCGACUUGAUAAACAUCGAGAGCUUCUCCAGUCGUGUGGUGUCUUUGUCAGAGUAUCGCCAGAGCCUACACACUUACCUUCGCUCCAAGAUGAGCCAAGUAGCCCCCAGCCUGUCAGCCUUAAUUGGGGAAGCGGUAGGUGCACGCCUCAUUGCUCAUGCUGGCAGCCUCACCAACCUGGCCAAGUAUCCAGCGUCCACAGUACAGAUCCUUGGGGCUGAAAAGGCCCUGUUCAGAGCCCUGAAGACAAGGGGUAACACACCAAAAUAUGGACUCAUUUUUCAUUCCACCUUCAUUGGCCGAGCAGCUGCAAAGAACAAAGGCCGUAUCUCCCGAUACCUAGCAAACAAAUGCAGUAUUGCCUCGAGAAUUGAUUGCUUCUCUGAGGUCCCCACAAGUGUAUUUGGGGAAAAACUCCGAGAACAAGUUGAGGAACGGCUGUCUUUCUAUGAGACUGGAGAGAUCCCACGGAAGAACCUGGAUGUCAUGAAGGAAGCCGUGGUUCAGGCAGAGGAAGCGGCUGCUGAAAUCACCAGAAAGCUGGAAAAACAGGAGAAGAAGCGCUUGAAGAAGGAAAAGAAGCGACUGGCUGCACUGGCCCUGGCCUCAUCAGAAAACAGCAGUACCCCAGAGGAGUGUGAGGGAGGAGAUAGGUGCUGAGAGAACUUGACAAGAGCCCAGAAUGCUGGUUGUAGCACAUGGCCCAUUCCAUGGGCAAGUGUGCUCUGUCCUCGGCUGCCUCCCAGGAGUCCUCAACGGGGGUAGUGUGAAUUCCUGCUCUCCCUGUUCUGUGUCUGGAGGAGGUACAUGAAAAAUCUAAGAAGAAGAAGAAGUUAAAACCCCAGGAGACUCUACAGGAAAAUGGAAUGGAAGACCCACCUGUCUCUCUACCUAAAACCAAGAAAAAGAAAGCUCCCAAGGAGGAGUUGGCCAGUGACCUUGAAGAGAUGGCCACUAGCAGUGCUCCUAAGAGAAAGAAAUCCUCACCUAAGGAGGAAGUGGCCAGUGAACCAGAAGAGGCAGCAAGCCCCACCACCCCUAAGAAGAAAAGGAAAUUUUCUGAGGAGCCUGAAGUUGCUGCUAACUUCACAAAGAGCAGCACAAAGAAAAAGAAAAAGUCCCAGAAAGCACAGGAGGAUUAGAACGGACCUGCUUGAUGGGAGGGGCAUACCUUGUGGUGGCAGCUCCUGCCCAUGAUAAAACCCCAAUAAAAACACAAAACCAGA